rnacentral:rRNA from 1 species
AAAACUAGCCAGUCUUUUGGGUAUGAAACCCAUUUGGGCGAGAGUAGUACUAGGAUGGGUGACCUCCUAGGAAGUCCUCGUGAAAGGGUUUC